GACGAACGCUGGCGGCGUGCCUAAUACAUGCAAGUCGAACGCAUUUUCUUUCACCGUAGCUUGCUACACCGAAAGAAAAUGAGUGGCGAACGGGUGAGUAACACGUGGGUAACCUGCCCAUCAGCGGGGGAUAACACUUGGAAACAGGUGCUAAUACCGCAUAAUCCCAUUUACCGCAUGGUAGAUGGGUGAAAGGCGCUUUUGCGUCACUGAUGGAUGGACCCGCGGUGCAUUAGCUAGUUGGUGGGGUAACGGCCUACCAAGGCUGCGAUGCAUAGCCGACCUGAGAGGGUGAUCGGCCACACUGGGACUGAGACACGGCCCAGACUCCUACGGGAGGCAGCAGUAGGGAAUCUUCGGCAAUGGACGCAAGUCUGACCGAGCAACGCCGCGUGAGUGAAGAAGGUUUUCGGAUCGUAAAACUCUGUUGUUAGAGAAGAACAAGGAUGAGAGUGGAAAGUUCAUCCCUUGACGGUAUCUAACCAGAAAGCCACGGCUAACUACGUG
rnacentral:rRNA from 1 species